GCAUCGAUAGCUCAGUGGCAGAGCGAUGUGGGGCGUUUACCCAUGCGGCCCGGGUUCGAUCCCCGGUCAAUGCA